ensembl:lncRNA
UUUGUGGCUUUAUUCUUUUUUUUUCAGAUGUUCAUAUUAUGCAAAGGAUGAGUGGUUGUAAAUGGGAUGAUGAGACUGGAGAAAUUAAUGGAUACAAUCAGUAUGGUUAUGAUGGAGAAGACUUUAUAGUGUUUGAUCUGCAGACAGUGACAUGGAUCACUGCAUAACCACAGGCUGUCAUCACCAAACUAUGAUGGAAUAUGGAACAUGCCCGAUUACAACAUAAUAAAAACUCUUUAAGCCAUUUAUGCCCGAAGUUUUUAAAGAAGCAUUUCCACUAUGGGAGGAGCUUUCUGGAGACAGCAGUUCUUCCCUCAGUGUCUCUCCUCCAGAAGACUUCCUCCUCUCCAGUCAGCUGCCACGCUACAGGUUUCUAUCCUUAAAGAGCCGAGAUGUUCGGAGGAAAGAUGGAGAGGAGCUUCAUGAAAGCGGGGAUCAUGGACAGAUCCUCCCCAAACAAACUGGUGUAAGACUGGAUACUGCCACAGUUAUGAAACUGUCAUUUGGUAUAUUGGAGAGGUUAAUUUUACAAUCUAGAUUAAAAUUUAAUCUAGAUUGUAUCUAGAUUAAACUGCACACAUUUUUGUUCUGUAUCAUAAAAUCUCAUACUUUUGUUUAACAGAGAAGCCCACUGACAUCAUGACCUUUAUCGGUGCAGCACUGGUUGUUCUAGUUUUCACCAUCAUUGCAGCUGUGACAUUUGUGAUUUAUAAAAGGAAGAAAGGUGAGAAAUUGUAACUGAGUAAAUACUGCAUUUAGUUUUAACAUUAAUGUUCUUAUCCAUAUUGUCAGUUGUGUUGGUUUGAUAUAAUUUUCAUUUGCUUAUUUCAGCUUAUUGUUCUACACUCUCUAAGCAAAACCUCAGUUUAUUGUAUUUGUAUUUUGUCAGAUGUGAUAUGUGAUUAAAGAAGUAAAUUUAGACCAAUUACAGAAUCAUGCAAAAGCAAAACCUUCAUGGUGUCUUGCCACUACAGAUUCCCUUUGUUAUUUAUGCUAUCACUCACUUGACAACCACUAGUCCCUCUGGGGAGAGAGGGUUGUGUUUGCAAACAGAAACCUACAAUCACUGUUUAUUAUACUUUGGAAAAGACAAGAAAAAUCCAGACUUUUUUUUUUAUCUUACAGCUCCUGAUAAUGUCCCCGAGCAGUCUGAGAGACUAAAUCCACAAUCCUGACUAACCGACAAGUAGUUCUGCCCUCCACUCUUUCCUCUGGCUGCUUCUGUAUGUUAUGCGGCUCAAACACAUUCAUUAAACUCAUGAUUACAUUAAUUAAGCUAAUCACAGCAUUUUGUAGACCAAUGAUGGACAGGUUAUAGCGCUUGUUGUAUAUUAGUGCACAAAUAUUUUUACUGAUUUUUUUCCAGCUGUGUAUGUGUAGAUGUAUUUGCCAUUUGAAUCUGCUUCUUUGAGUAAUUGCUGUACACAUGCACUGGCAUCAUCAUUCCUCUCCAAAGCAACAGUAUCAAAUUUAAUGUUGAUUAUCAUCUAGUUUUGGUUAUUACAGUUUGGUUGUUAUACCUAAUGCUCCAUCUAGGGUCUCCCUCCUUCCUCUGCUGGGAUGGAUAUGCA